GAGUGAAUGAUGAGCAAAUUUAUCGCAGCAUUGUGUCAAACUCUCUGCUCUGCACAGCUCUGCUCUGCUCUGCUCUG
rnacentral:snoRNA from 1 species